UACGCAGGUGGCGAGCGUUGUCCGGAUUUACUGGGCGUAAAGAGCGCGCAGGCGGCUGGUCAAGUCCGAUGUGAAAGCUCCCGGCUUAACUGGGAAAUUGCAUCGGAAACUGAUCGGCUGGAAGGUGGGAGAGGGUAGCGGAAUUCCCGGUGUAGUGGUGAAAUGCGUAGAUAUCGGGAGGAACACCAGUGGCGAAAGCGGCUACCUGGCCCAUUCUUGACGCUGAGGCGCGAAAGCUAGGGGAGCAAACGGG
rnacentral:rRNA from 1 species